AUGCUGGAGGUAUCAGAAGUGCGAAUGCUGACAUAAGUAACGAUAAAGCGGGUGAAAAGCCCGCUCGCCGGAAGACCAAGGGUUCCUGUCCAACGUUAAUCGGGGCAGGGUGAGUCGACCCCUAAGGCGAGGCCGAAAGGCGUAGUCGAUGGGAAACAGGUUAAUAUUCCUGUACUUGGUGUUACUGCGAAGGGGGGACGGAGAAGGCUAUGUUGGCCGGGCGACGGUUGUCCCGGUUUAAGCGUGUAGGCUGGUUUUCCAGGCAAAUCCGGAAAAUCAAGGCUGAGGCGUGAUGACGAGGCACUACGGUGCUGAAGCAACAAAUGCCCUGCUUCCAGGAAAAGCCUCUAAGCAUCAGGUAACAUCAAAUCGUACCCCAAACCGACACAGGUGGUCAGGUAGAGAAUACCAAGGCGCUUGAGAGAACUCGGGUGAAGGAACUAGGCAAAAUGGUGCCGUAACUUCGGGAGAAGGCACGCUGAUAUGUAGGUGAAGCGACUUGCUCGUGGAGCUGAAAUCAGUCGAAGAUACCAGCUGGCUGCAACUGUUUAUUAAAAACACAGCACUGUGCAAACACGAAAGUGGACGUAUACGGUGUGACGCCUGCCCGGUGCCGGAAGGUUAAUUGAUGGGGUCAGCGCAAGCGAAGCUCUUGAUCGAAGCCCCGGUAAACGGCGGCCGUAACUAUAACGGUCCUAAGGUAGCGAAAUUCCUUGUCGGGUAAGUUCCGACCUGCACGAAUGGCGUAAUGAUGGCCAGGCUGUCUCCACCCGAGACUCAGUGAAAUUGAACUCGCUGUGAAGAUGCAGUGUACCCGCGGCAAGACGGAAAGACCCCGUGAACCUUUACUAUAGCUUGACACUGAACAUUGAGCCUUGAUGUGUAGGAUAGGUGGGAGGCUUAGAAGUGUGGACGCCAGUCUGCAUGGAGCCGACCUUGAAAUACCACCCUUUAAUGUUUGAUGUUCUAACGUUGACCCGUGAUCCGGGUUGCGGACAGUGUCUGGUGGGUAGUUUGACUGGGGCGGUCUCCUCCUAAAGAGUAACGGAGGAGCACGAAGGUUGGCUAAUCCUGGUCGGACAUCAGGAGGUUAGUGCAAUGGCAUAAGCCAGCUUGACUGCGAGCGUGACGGCGCGAGCAGGUGCGAAAGCAGGUCAUAGUGAUCCGGUGGUUCUGAAUGGAAGGGCCAUCGCUCAACGGAUAAAAGGUACUCCGGGGAUAACAGGCUGAUACCGCCCAAGAGUUCAUAUCGACGGCGGUGUUUGGCACCUCGAUGUCGGCUCAUCACAUCCUGGGGCUGAAGUAGGUCCCAAGGGUAUGGCUGUUCGCCAUUUAAAGUGGUACGCGAGCUGGGUUUAGAACGUCGUGAGACAGUUCGGUCCCUAUCUGCCGUGGGCGCUGGAGAACUGAGGGGGGCUGCUCCUAGUACGAGAGGACCGGAGUGGACGCAUCACUGGUGUUCGGGUUGUCAUGCCAAUGGCACUGCCCGGUAGCUAAAUGCGGAAGAGAUAAGUGCUGAAAGCAUCUAAGCACGAAACUUGCCCCGAGAUGAGUUCUCCCUGACCCUUUAAGGGUCCUGAAGGAACGUUGAAGACGACGACGUUGAUAGGCCGGGUGUGUAAGCGCAGCGAUGCGUUGAGCUAACCGGUACUAAUGAACCGUGAGGCUUAACCUUACAACGCCGAAG
rnacentral:rRNA from 1 species